rnacentral:rRNA from 1 species
GACGAACGCUGGCGGCGUGCUUAACACAUGCAAGUCGAACGGAAAGGCCUGCUUUCCCUUGUGGAUUGCGGGUACUCGAGUGGCGAACGGGUGAGUAACACGUGAGUGAUCUGCCCCCAACUUGGGUAUAAGCCUGGGAAACUGGGUCUAAUUCCCGAUAGGACUGCAGGGUGGUGCCUGUGGUGGAAAACGAUUUUCUAGUGGUUGGGGAUGAGCUCGCGGCCUAUCAGCUUGUUGGUGGGGUAAUGGCCUACCAAGGCGGCGGCGGGUAGCCGGCCUGGGAGGGUGGACGGCCACAUUGGGACUGAGAUACGGCCCAGACUCCUACGGGAGGCAGCAGUGGGGAAUAUUGCACAAUGGGCGGAAGCCUGAUGCAGCGACGCCGCGUGGGGGAUGACGGCCUUCGGGUUGUAAACUCCUUUCGACCGCGAGGAAGCCACCUGGUUGGAAGGGUGGUGACGGUAGUGGUAGAAGAAGCACCGGCUAACUACGUG